GCCUGGGUGGCUCAGUCAGUUGAGCAUCUGACUUCGGCUCAGGUCAUGAUCUCACAGUUCAUGGGUUCGAGCCCUGUGUCGGGCU
rnacentral:tRNA from 1 species